rnacentral:rRNA from 1 species
GACCCGUCUUGAAACACGGACCAAGGAGUCUAACAUGUGCGCGAGUCAUUGGGUGUCAAACCUAAAGGCGGAAUGAAAGUGAAGAUCGGCUCGACCGAUUGAUAUGGGAUCCGUUCGGUCACGGCCGAGCGGCGCACCAUAGCCCCGUCUCGACUGCUUGCAGUGGGGCGGAGGCAGAGCGUACACGUUGGGACCCGAAAGAUGGUGAACUAUGCCUGAGCAGGGCGAAGCCAGAGGAAACUCUGGUGGAGGUCCGAAGCGGUUCUGACGUGCAAAUCGAUCGUCAGACUUGGGUAUAGGGGCGAAAGACUAAUCGAACCAUCUAGUAGCUGGUUCCCUCCGAAGUUUCCCCCAGGAUAGCUGGAGCUCGUUAGAGCAGUUGUAUCCGGUAAAGCGAAUGAUUAGAGGCCUUGGGGACGAAACGACCUCAACCUAUUCUCAAACUUUCAAUGGGUACGAAGUCCCGGUUGCUUGACUCGAACCGAUGGACAGUGAAUGUGAGCUCCAAGUGGGCCAUUUUUGGUAAGCAGAACUGGCGCUGUGGGAUGAACCAAACGUCGGGUUAAGGUGCCUAACUCCUCGCUCAUGAGACCCCAUGAAAGGCGUUGGUUGAUAUAGACAGCAGGACGGUGGCCAUGGAAGUCGGAAACCGCUAAGGAGUGUGU